ensembl:lncRNA
UAUUUAUCCUGGUGGACGUGGAGAUAAAAACAAAUGAGACAGCUAGGGGAACCUGACCAGGAGGGCAGCACAGCACGGGGUACCAAACAAACACAAAACAAGCAGCAGAACAUUUGGUGGUACUCAACACUUGGUCAUCGAAGUGCAAAGGAAGAUAUCAAGUGCGUAGGCAGCAGCCAAUCGUUGUUCUGUUCCAGAGACAAGUGCAGGAGAUGAACAGAAAGCCCCAGCAGGCUCACGUAGGAAUCCCUCCCCUCUGGAGAGAAAACACGAUAAUGAAAGGAACACGAUACAGAAGGCGCGACGGCCGUCCAGAUUAGAGUCCAUGCCUCAUUACACCGCCAGGGAGAUGGGCAGCGGACGUGAGGAAUAGAAGUGGUUCAAUCGUGUGGGAUGGGGAGGCGCGCACUUACAAAGCAACAGCGCGAGUGGUAUAAAGCCAAAACUCGCAUCAGGGCUGCUGUCUGAAGUGUGUCUAAUGGAAGACUGGUUCCAAAAACAAGG